UACGGAGGGAGCUAGCGUUGUUCGGAUAUACUGGGCGUAAAGCGCACGUAGGCGGCGCCGUAAGUCAGGGGUGAAAUCCCGGGGCUCAACUCCGGAACUGCCCUUGAAACUGCAGUGCUAGAAUCUUGGAGAGGCGAGUGGAAUUCCGAGUGUAGAGGUGAAAUUCGUAGAUAUUCGGAAGAACACCAGUGGCGAAGGCGACUCGCUGGACAAGUAUUGACGCUGAGGUGCGAAAGCGUGGGGAGCAAACAGG
rnacentral:rRNA from 1 species